rnacentral:rRNA from 1 species
GACUGAGUGGCGGACGGGUGAGUAACGCGUGGGUAACCUGCCUUAUACAGGGGGAUAACAGUUAGAAAUGACUGCUAAUACCGCAUAACCCGAUAGAGUCGCAUGACUCAGACGGAAAAGAUUUAUCGGUAUAAGAUGGACCCGCGUCUGAUUAGCUAGUUGGUGAGGUAACGGCCCACCAAGGCGACGAUCAGUAGCCGGCUUGAGAGAGUGAACGGCCACAUUGGGACUGAGACACGGCCCAAACUCC